UUUUAUGGUUGAAGUGGAGCAAGAGAAGCUUAUGUUCUUCCUCAUCACCUUCAUUUUCGCAACAUUUUGACAGCCCUCACUAAACUGAUAAUAACUCUCUGCUCACAGCUCCGAUUGAGAUAAGCGCAUUUGAAGUUGAUCAAUGGAUGCUGAAAAUAGGUGUAAAGUGGAAUACGGGUUUGAUGAAUUUGGAGUUGAAGUUUUGGUCAAGUUAGGAGCUCAAUUGCAGCAUGUUCAUCAUCCAAAGCUCCAUUGAUGCAAGGUGCAGUUUAGUAGCUUUUGAUAGAUAGCCGGUUCGGAUUGAUGGCUUGAAGUGGUGUCGGCUCGAAGACCUCGUUGAUUUUGACAUUCCGCUGUGCAAGAUCCAUUGAAGACCCAUGUAUUGUGCUACUUAGUAGAAUUUCAUGUUGUAUUUUAUAUGGAUCAAAUAUUGUACCUUGACUUGUGUAUGUACUCAAUAUCAAUUUUAACGUUUCAUGCAUAAUAUACUAGUCAGUUAUGUAUGGGGUGUUACAAAACAAGUCAGCUGGGGGUUCUCUGAAGCAUUUGCGAUUAUCAUUGUCCAUCGUAAUGUCCGAAAUCGCUUCUUAAGAGCCCACAGUUUGGUUUAUCUUUCUCUGCAUCCCUCCCUUUGAUUCUUGCAUAAUUAACAUGAUUUGGUAGCAUACAUAUGUUCAUAAUGAGAUUUCGAAGCUCCUGGCAUAAAUCGA